CAAAGGUAGCAUAAUCAUUAGGGGCUUAAUUGGAACCUAGUAUGAAUGGUCGGACAAAGAAAAAACUGUCUUUACAAGUUAAGUCGAAGUUUACCUUUAAGUGAAAAGGCUUAAAUAAAUCAAAGGGACGAUAAGACCCUAUAAAUCUUUAUAAAUAAUUUAAAUUCAAUUAAUUUAAAAUUAUAAAAAUUGAGUGUGAUUAUUUUAUUUUGUUGGGGUGAUGAGAGUAUAAUUAUUGUUAACUGCUUAAAAAAAAAUCUUAUAUAAAAGAAACAAAUAUAAAUGAUCCUUUUUAGAGAUUAAAAGACAAAGUUACUUUAGGGAUAACAGCGUUAUUUCUUUUGAGAGUUCAUAUCGAAAAAGAAGAUUGCGACCUCGAUGUUGAAUUAAGAUAUCUAUAUAAUGUAGCCGUUAUAAAAGAGGGUCUGUUCGACCUUUAAAUU
rnacentral:rRNA from 1 species